rnacentral:rRNA from 1 species
GUUGAACGCUGGCGGCGUGCCUAAUACAUGCAAGUCGAGCGAAGCGGGGACGGGUGAGUAACACGUGGCUAACCUCCUAUAAGACUGGGAUAACUUCGGGAAACCGGGACUAAACCGGCUCCUAUUAGAUGGAGCCGGGCGGGAUUAGCUAGUUGGUAAGGUAACGGCUUACCAAGGCAACGAUUCAUAGCCGACCUGAGAGGAUGAUCGGCCACACUGGAACUGAGACACGGUCCAGACUCCUGCGGGAGGCAGCAGUGGGGAAUCUUGCGCAAUGGGCGAAAGCCUGACGGAGCCACGCCGCGUGAGUGAAGAAGGUCUUCGGAUCGUAAAACUCUGUUAGUAGGGAAGCGGUACCUGCUCAGAAAGCCACGGCUAACUCCGUGCCAGCAGCCGCGGUAAUUC